rnacentral:rRNA from 1 species
AGCAGCCGCGGUAAUUCCAGCUCCAAUAGCGUAUAUUAAAGUUGUUGCAGUUAAAAGCUCGUAGUUGAAUUUCGGGAUCAAUUUAUUGGUCGUGCAAUAGUACGUACUGGUAUUAUUGGUUCCUACCUUCUGAUGAACCAUGAUGUCAUUAAUUUGGUGUUAUGGGGGAUCAGGACUGUUACUUUGAAAAAUUAGAGUGUUUAAAGCAGGCUCACGCUUGAAUACAUUAGCAUGGAAUAAUGAAAUAGGACGUUUGAUUCUAUUUUGUUGGUUUCUAGGAUCGACGUAAUGAUUAAUAGGGAUAGUUGGGGGCAUUAGUAUUCAAUUGUCAGAGGUGAAAUUCUUGGAUUUAUUGAAGACUAACUACUGCGAAAGCAUUUGCCAAGGAUGUUUUCAUUAAUCAAGAACGAAAGUUAGGGGAUCGAAGACGAUCAGAUACCGUCGUAGUCU